GGGUGGUGUACAUGGUUAACACACUUGGCUGCUAACCAAAAGGUUGGAGGUUUGAGUCCAUCCAGAGCCA
rnacentral:tRNA from 1 species